GACUAAAAAGACAAAUCGUUUGUCAGCUUUUAUAUUUUACUUCAAACUGACUUCUGUCUCAUUAAAAUUGCUUAUUUUAAAAUUUGGGCGUAAACAUCAAUGUAACGGAAUUGAAAUUUUGUAAAUAUUUAUAAAAGUAAUUACAUAUUUCAAUGCUUAUAAACAUUCAUUAGGUUCGCCUAAUUAUAUGCAAUUAUCUGGUUAUCUCCCGCACGCACACAAAUGCGUAUAUAAGUACAGGCAUGAAACUAACCACCUUCAAGUGAUACAAGUAAGGCUUAAGGGGCAAAACGAAUCUCACCUAAACAACGGAAAUUAAUAUAUUCCCAACGUAAAAAGGCGAACUAAAUUGUCAAACUAAGUAAUUUUAAUUGUCAAACUAAGUAAUUUUAAGAGCAACCAAUUUUGCAGUAUGUUUUUUCAAAAUUUGCGACCAAGGUUUUUUAGGCAUCAUGCACUUUAUCUGUUCCCAAAAGAAAAAAGCUAAUAAAUUAUAGAACGAAGAAGACUCAGAACCCAUGAAAGAAGCAGAGCUAUAGAAAGCCUUUAACCAACCAACUUUCAAGAAAGCUAUCAGGAGACCCAAAAUGGAAUGUUUAUCAAAUUUUCUGAUUGCGGCCGCUCUUCAAAAAAAUCCAUAGACCCUUCGGAGACUGCUUAAUAUAAACGGCAUAUUUCGAGCUGUCAUCCAUUCACCAAACUGUAUUCGAGUGCAUGCAAAUUUUGAAAAAUGCAGAAAAUAUGCACAAAUAAAUGCAUUUUUACCAACAUUUAAAUUGAUUUUGAACUAUUUCAGAAAAAAUUUACUCGUAAGACAGAGUACCAUAAUUUAGCAAAUAUUCCCAUUGCGUUCAAAUGAUUGAUAUAUCAGGU